rnacentral:lncRNA from 1 species
GAGGCUAAAUUAAGGUAUUCUUGAUUUUUAUCAUUAAGGCCUAAAAAGAAAUAUUGUAAAAGCAUGGGUUCUGGUAAAGCAAGAUUAGGUCUAGAAUUUACAAAACUAUCAAAACGAUCCCAAGCCUUGCCUAGCGAUUCCUUGUCUAAUUUUUUGAAUCCUAUAAUUCCAAACCGAAGUUUAGCGACCUUUUCUACUGGGAAGAAUUUAAGGCAAAAGUUUUUUCCUAAUAUAUCCCAGUCUCCUUGACUGUUGCCAACAUGGCGAUUAUACCAUUUCUUAGCUCGACCCGUUAAUGAAAAUGGAAAGAGCUUCCAUCUUAGAGUUUCAUCGGCCAUGCCCUUAAUUUUUAGACAUGAACAUGUCUGCUCAAAAUUAGCUAAAUGGGAAUAGGAGUUUUCACUAGAAUUACUGGAAAAAAUAUGUUCUUGAACUAAUUUGAUUAGUCCGGGCUAGCUCAUAGCCAGAUGAUGUGAUAGGUUUAGAAGAUUCUUUUGGCUGGAGGUACGAUCCCGAUGGUGCUCCAUAUUGAUAUAAAAGUUGAGAUUCGAUUUCCAUCUAUAUAUUUAUAUUUUAUUUUUAUAUUUAUUUUCAUUUAUUAUUUUUUAUAAAAGGAUAACUAUAGACUAAGAUAGACUAAUGUUAAAAAUUAGUAAACCGUUCCCGGCAAAGGCGCCAGAAAUGCUUGUUGGUAUAAAUUAACUACACCCUAAUAAUGAUUAUAAUCAGAUUAUCCGCAAGUGUAGAUCGGCACUUUACCAAGAUCAACCCGGUUUUAAUAUCGAACCCAAAGGAAAAGUAGGUGAUUUAUGACUUAGCCUAUAAUUUCUUAAUCUAAGGAGGCACAAACAAUCUAGAAACUAUUGAUGAUGAGGAAAUACUAAUGUACUCUGGUUCCAAUAACCGGUAAACUUUGUAUAGUAUCGUCUUAUCGGGCAAGUAACCCAAACAAGGGAAGAAUCAGAGUAAUCCCCUAUCAGCCACCUAUAAGCCUUUCAAUCCUAUCAACGGGAAGUGGACUACAGAGAAAUCAACGCAGCUAUAAAGUCACCUAUGCGAACUACCACUGUCUGGCUGAUCUGGGGGCAUUCACAAGCAACCAUAGCCCAGACACCACGUCUACGGUACGAAUCACUACUCCGAUCUAGGAGCUACCCAAAUCAUAGUACACAAUAUAAUAUGAGUUGCAAACUAAAGAACGAAUACAAACAAGUUGAUUACUUCAAUCAGAAGGGUAAAUACAAAAGUACCUCCGAACGUGGUUCCAGACGAGGGAGCCAAAUCCAUACGAAUACAGCUCCUGAGGAAGCUCCGACAAGCCGGGACUCCUCCGAAUCUCUACUCCUCUACUCUAUCUCUCUAAUCUCUAUCUUGAUUGCUAGCCU